GUUGGACAGUUCCAAUCUACAGUUAUUUCCUUUCCUGGUUGCUUUCAAUUAAGAGGCAAUAUAUCUCUGCUAUUCACCUAUUCUUAAAAAACAAUUCUGUUUAUACGGAGAUGCAGAGGACAAAAUAAAAGUAAACUUUCUAUGGACUUGAUGUCCCAAUAAUGGGAGUGGAAAUCCCUUUAUUCAAACUUUAAAUAAAAUCAUAUUUUCCAAAGACAUUUGUGAACAAAACAAACAAGCUGGU
rnacentral:misc_RNA from 1 species